ACUCCUACGGGAGGCAGCAGUGGGGAAUAUUGGACAAUGGGCGCAAGUCUGAUCCAGCCAUGCCGCGCGUAUGAAGAAGGCCUUCGGGUUGUAAAGUACUUUCAGCGGGGAGGAAGGUGUUGUGGUUAAUAACCGCAGCAAUUGACGUUACCCGCAGAAGAAGCACCGGCUAACUCCGUGCCAGCAGCCGCGGUAAUA
rnacentral:rRNA from 1 species